CUUCAGAACUUUCUUAUGGACAUCCAAAUCUUGGUCAAGGGUCCAUAAGAAGUUCUGAAGGU
rnacentral:pre_miRNA from 1 species